rnacentral:rRNA from 1 species
AUUGAACGCUCGCGGGAUGCUUUACACAUGCAAGUCGAACGGCAGCGCGGACUUCGGUCUGGCGGCGAGUGGCGAACGGGUGAGUAAUGUAUCGGAACGUGCCCAGUAGCGGGGGAUAACUACGCGAAAGCGUAGCUAAUACCGCAUACGCCCUACGGGGGAAAGCAGGGGAUCGUAAGACCUUGCACUAUUGGAGCGGCCGAUAUCGGAUUAGCUAGUUGGUGAGGUAACGGCUCACCAAGGCGACGAUCCGUAGCUGGUUUGAGAGGACGACCAGCCACACUGGGACUGAGACACGGCCCAGACUCCAACGGGAGGCAGCAGUGGGGAAUUUUGGACAAUGGGGGCAACCCUGAUCCAGCCAUCCCGCGUGUGCGAUGAAGGCCUUCGGGUUGUAAAGCACUUUUGGCAGGAAAGAAACGUCGCGGGCUAAUACCCCGUGGAACUGACGGUACCUGCAGAAUAAGCACCGGCUAACUACGUG